GAUGAACGCUGGCGGCGUGCCUAAUACAUGCAAGUCGAGCGAACAGACGAGGAUCUUGCUCCUCUGACGUUAGCGGCGGACGGGUGAGUAACACGUGGAUAACCUACCUAUAAGACUGGGAUAACUUCGGGAAACCGGAGCUAAUACCGGAUAAUAUAUUGAACCGCAUGGUUCAAUAGUGAAAGCCGGUUUUGCUGUCACUUAUAGAUGGAUCCGCGCCGCAUUAGCUAGUUGGUAAGGUAACGGCUUACCAAGGCAACGAUGCGUAGCCGACCUGAGAGGGUGAUCGGCCACACUGGAACUGAGACACGGUCCAGACUCCUACGGGAGGCAGCAGUAGGGAAUCUUCCGCAAUGGGCGAAAGCCUGACGGAGCAACGCCGCGUGAGUGAUGAAGGUCUUCGGAUCGUAAAACUCUGUUAUUAGGGAAGAACAAAUGUGUAAGUAACUAUGCACGUCUUGACGGUACCUAAUCAGAAAGCCACGGCUAACUACGUG
rnacentral:rRNA from 1 species